CAGUCGCCACGGUAAAACAGAGGGUGCGAGCGUUAAUCGGAUUUACUGGGCGUAAAGCGUGCGUAGGCGGCUUUUUAAGUCGGAUGUGAAAUCCCUGAGCUUAACUUAGGAAUUGCAUUCGAUACUGGGAAGCUAGAGUAUGGGAGAGGAUGGUAGAAUUCCAGGUGUAGCGGUGAAAUGCGUAGAGAUCUGGAGGAAUACCGAUGGCGAAGGCAGCUAUCUGGCCUAAUACUGACGCUGAGGUACGAAAGCAUGGGGAGCAAACAGGAUUAGAUACCCCUGUAGUCCCUGUCUCUUAUAC
rnacentral:rRNA from 1 species